CCAGCGCACCGCCUAAUUCGUCGCGGCUCGCCGUCGCUCGUGCUCUGUUCUGCUACUUCAUCGCUGGCCGUCUCUUCAUCUCUGGUUAGUCACAAUCUGGUACGCGGUAACCUUAGCAUCUGCAUCACCGAUUCAUAGAAACCCAUGUUCCAUUUGGUAGAUAUUUUACUUGAACCAUUUGGUUAAUGGUAACCUUAGCUUCUGUAUCACUUUGCAGAACAAAAGCUAAUCCAAUUGCACCAAUCCACGGUUCACCAUCAUCUCGCAUCUAAUCCGAGGCUCCGGCUCUGCGCACUGCAAUUUCGUUCAGUCUCCUCUCCUCUCCACUUUCAUAUUCUCCGAGUUUCUGACUCUAUCUGUAAGUCUCUCCCCUUCUCUGUCAAAUUGUCAAUGAGCACUGCAUUACAGACUUACAAUAGUGCUGCCUGCAAUAAUACAAUUUCAUGGACGACUUGAUCACUGCAAAUUCCAAUGUCUAGUGUAACAUCCACAUCGUCUAGAGAAGUGAUUCUUAGGGGGGUGUAUUCAAUUGAGAAUGUGAGAGAUUUUAAUGGAUUUAUAAAUCCAUAGAUUUUUAUGGAGUUUAAUUGAUUUGUAGAGAUUCCAUAUAAAAUUUUGAUUCAAUUCCCUCGAAAUCUCAUGGGAAGAGGUGAGAUUUGUGGAUGUUUAAAAUACACUACGAAAUCUUUCCAAUUCCCUCUAAUUCCUCAACUUUCUCAAAUUCUUUAAAAUAAAUUUCUAAUUGAAUACACCUGGAAUGU
rnacentral:lncRNA from 1 species